rnacentral:SRP_RNA from 1 species
AGGCGCAGUGGCGCGUGCCUGUAGUCCCAGCUAUUCGGGAAAAUGAGGCUGGAGGAUCUCGAGUCCAGGAGUUCUGGGCUGUAGUGCGCUAUGCCAAUCUGGUGUCCGCACUAAGUUUGGCAUCAACAUGGUGACCUCCCAGGAGCGGGAGACCACCAGGUUGCCUAAAAAGGGGUGAACCAGCCCAGGUCGGAAACGGAGCAGGUUAAAACUCCUGUGCCGAUCAGUAGCGGGAUCGCACCUGUGAAUAGCCACUGCACUCCAGCCUGGGCAACAUAGCAAGACACUGUCUCU